rnacentral:lncRNA from 1 species
UUUUUUUUUUUUUUUUUUAACUCAUAGCGGGUUUGGGGCAAAUUCGAGUAUUACCUUCCAUCCCAUCCUAAACACACACACACACACACACACACACAUAUAUAUAUAUAUAAUUAAGUAAACACACAUAUAUAUGCAUAUAUAUAAUUAAGUAAAAAAUAAUUUAAUUUAUUUCUUUAUUUCUUUCUCUUUAAACACAAAAUAAAAAAGGGGGAAUCAUGUAAAAAUGUCCUAUCCAUAAAAUACAGAUAAAUUCAGAACCCAAAAGAGUCACUUUCAUGGGAAGUACAUUUUAGGGAAAUUAAUCCUCAUUUUAUGUACUAGAAUAGUAACUUUAUGUAUAUUUGCAAAAUUGCCCUCCAAUCAAUUGAAAGUGGGCUCCCUCACUUUUUUUCUUUUUUCUUUUUUUUCUUUCUGUUUGACUUUUUUUUCCUCACUUGAACGGGCCAAUUUUUUAGCCUCCCCCACCUUUUUUUUUUCUUUGUUUUCUUUUUUCCCUUCUCCGCCAUUCUCACCUUCUCACCAAAUUAAAUUAAGUUUUAUAUUACAAUUAAAUAAAUUAAAUUUUGUUCUUUUUUAAUACUUUGAUUUUAAUUAAUUUUGUAAUAAUUCUCAUCUUUUGUCCCUAUUUUUUAAAAUCUACUUAAUUAAAGAGCAAACUUUAUUUUUUAAAAGUAAAAUUCAUUUAUUCAUUUAUUCAUUAUUUUUUUCCUUUUCUUUAUUAAAUUUUUAUUUUAACAUCAUGUGUAAUUAAUGAAUUAAAAUAAAUUAGUUUUUAAUAUAAAAAUAUACUCACCUAUAAUAAUUAACAAUCUAAUAAAUAAAUAAAUGAAUACUAAUAUUUUAAAUAAUAUUGAUUUCAAAUAUAUAUAUAUAUAUAUAUAUAUAUAUAUAAUAUUUUAUUUUGUUUCGCAUUCAUAAUAUUUUUAUAUUUAUAAUAUUUAUAAUUUUUAUAUUAUGGGUCUCAUUUUUUUUUUCUGAAUUUUUUAUAGAACAUUAAACCUAAAUUUAAAAAAACUAAAAAUAAAAAAACACCGUCCACAUGUGUAAAAACUACAUUUUUUGUUUUCUUCAAAAUAAAAACAGAAAAAUAAUAUUAAAAAAUAUUAACUUACGUUUAAUUUCAUCCAACAAAAAAUUAGUAAUGAUCAUUCUUUAAGAGUAUUUAAUUUUAAACGCAAUAUUUGAAGGUAUGUAAAAUUAAAAUUUUUAAAGUGUUUGCAUUAAAAUUUUAAACAUAAAUUCACAAUUCCCAUCAUAAUACAAUGAUAUUUAAAAUAAAAUAAAAAAGACUAAUGUUUUUUAUUAAAUAUGUAAAAAAAAGUACAUUUUUGUUUAAUUAAAAAUUUAAACCAUAAAAUUGUUUUUAUUUUAAUAAAUAAUGUUUUUAAAAGGUACAUUAUGUGUAUUUUUCUAGCAUAUUAUUUAAUAAUCACUGUCAAACUCAUAGCAAUGACAAUAAAAAAUUUAAUAAGCUAGUACAUCCUACUAUCUAUAGUGAUACUUUUAGUUAUUAACGUUGUUACUUUUAAGUAAAAACAAUGUUGCUAUCUUUAGUGGCAUAUUUGAUAUACAAGCGAAAGUGGUGAUGAAUUAUAAAUAGGCUAGUACAUCCUUCUAUCUGUAGUGGUACUUUUAGUUACUAGCAUUGUUGCUUUUUGGUAAAAAUUUUGUUACUAUCUCGAAUGACAUGUUUGAUGUAAAGGCUGAAGUGGUGAUGUGUGAUGUGACAGCUACGUACGUGGGUCCAAUCAAGUGUACUUGUCAGUUAGUUUUAUAUAAGUGGUAGCCCACCUUCAAUUGGUUGGAGGGCACUCUUAGAAACAUGCAAAAAGUUACUAUUCUAGUACAUGGAAUGAGAAUUAUUUUCCCCAAAAUGUACUCCCCAUAAAAGUGACUUUUUUGGAUUCUGAAUUUAUCCAUAUUUUAUGGACAAUUCAUGGUUACAUAAUUCCCCCAAUAAAAAAAUGUAUCUCUCAUUAAAAUAAAUUAUAAACAAUUAUAAUAUUUAUUUGUUUACAAAUUACAUUUAUUUUUAAUAUAAGAACAAUUUUUAACAUAUAUAUAUUAAAAAAAAAAAAGGGUAAAUGGGCAUGGUGAGUAUGGAAAAUUGCCCACUAGUAAAUGAGAGUGAUGAGUAUGGAAAAUUACCCACAAGUAAAUGGGUGCGGUGAGUAUGGAAAAUUACCCACCUUACCUCACCCCAUUUAAUUUUUUUUAUUGGGAUGGGGAUGGAAAUUGAUUUAAUUAAUAGGGAAAGGAUUGGGAUAGGGGUGACCUACCCUAAAUUCACCUUGUUGCCAUCCCUAAUCUUAAUGCCUAAAAGUUAGAUAGGAUGACCCCUACAUAAGGAUUAUAUUGCACCUAAUUUUAUGAAACACAAGAUGCUUAUUGAAUGAUAAGAAACUAAGAACUAAUAUGGCCAUAAUCUUCCACAAAGGGUUUUCAAAUUAACAAGUUAGCACAACAAUGUCAAAUAUUCAAAAUGGUCAUUCAAUGUGAGUGCUUAUGACUUGUAUGAAAGAAUAUAACUCAAUAACAUGUAUUAAGUUUUGUAAUUUGCAUUGUCCUAGAAAGGGUUGUAUGCUUUCCUCAUCAUUUUUUGAAAGUAACAAAUUUGUUACUUCUCCUCUCAUUUCCUUUCUCAUUGUAAAUAACCUAGCAACAAAUUCAAGAUUCCGGAAUUAUUUGGCAUAAGAAUAAUCUAGAGUUAGGGAGUUAUUCAGAAAAGCUGCAUUUUGAUUCCAUUUAAACCCAAAAAAAAGCCCUAAUCAGCCGCCUUUGCCUUUGCUCAUGUCGUGUGUGUUGCAACCUAAUGUGAGAAUUGAGAGCAGAAGAGAAGAAGAGGAAGAAGAAGAAAGGAAAAAUCAAGGAAAAAUAGACAUACCUUUUCGAGCCUCUUUAAAUUUAAUUAUAUUAUAUCAAAUUAUAUAUGUAAAAUAGGUGCGCCUCACUUCACUAAAGCCCACACCUUAGGUGUGCCUUACACCUUAGGAUUCAAGAGGACUUUGUGCCUUUGUACGCCUUAAGCUUUUUAAAACUAUAGAAUAACUUGAUGCCAUUUCCCUAAUAGAGCACAAUUCCUUAGAGAAAUCUUCCCAAACCCCAAUCCCCCUUCCACCUUAGGCUUACAUACUAAAUCUCAGCUUAUAAGAUAGUCUCUCUUAAUCUCCCACCCCCUAACCAAAGAAGAUCCCUUUGCAAUUUCUCAAUUUUUCCAACCACUAUAGCGGGAAUCUUGAACAAUGAUAAAAAAAUAGCUAGGAAUAUGGGAGAGACAUGAAUGGAUAAGAAUUAUCCUUCCACCUAAAGAUAAAUAGGCCUUUUUUCACCCAUUUAAUCUUCGCAAUAUUCUCUCAAUCAUUGGAUCCCAAAAAACACGUCUUUGGGUUCCUCUCCCCCCCUCCCCCAAGGGGAAGACCCUCUCAUCAUCAUCCUACUUAACACAUUAGCUACAAAGGCAAAGAGAAAAAGUGGAUAGAGGAUCCCAUUGUCUUUGUCCUCUAGUUGCUUUGACCUAUCCUUUGGCAUUUCCAUUCACCACAAUUGCAAAAGUUACCAAGGACAAACAACCUCUCAUCCAAGUCCUCCAUCUAGGACUAAACCCCUUCAUUUCUAGUACAUGGUCCAGAAAACCCCAAUCUACAUGAUCAUAAGCAUUUUCAAAAUCAAUUCUGAAAACUACCCCUUCUUUUUUAUACUUAAAGGACUUAACAGCGUGUUUGGUUAACAUAGAGUACUUUAGAUGAAAAAGCUUUUCCAAAUAAAACCAUGGACUGGAUGCUUUUGCAGAAAAGCUUUGAAGAAGAAAAAAGAAA